AGAGUUUGAUCCUGGCUCAGGACGAACGCUGACGGUGUGCUUUAGGCAUGCAAGUCGAACGAGAAAGCCCUUUGGGGUGAGUAAAGUGGCGAACGGGUGAGUAACACGUGGGCAACCUGCCCCUCGCAGGGGGACAACCGGAGGAAACUCCGGCUAAUACCCCGUAAGCUCUACACGCCGCAUGGCGAGUAGAGGAAAGGUAGCUUCGGCCAUCCGGCGAGGGAUGGGCCCGCGGUGCAUUAGCUAGUUGGUGGGGUAACGGCCCACCAAGGCGACGAUGCGUAGCUGGUCUGAGAGGAUGAUCAGCCACACUGGGACUGAGACACGGCCCAGACUCCUACGGGAGGCAGCAGCCAGGAAUCUUGGGCAAUGGGCGAAAGCCUGACCCAGCAACACCGUGUGGGCGAUGAAGGCCUUCGGGUCGUAAAGCCCUGUUGAUAGGGACGAAGGGCGAAGGGUUAAUAGCCCCUAGCUUGACGGUACCUUUCGAGGAAGCCCCGGCUAACUACGUGCCAGCAGCCGCGGUAAUACGUAGGGGGCGAGCGUUGUCCGGAAUUAUUGGGCGUAAAGAGCGUGUAGGCGGUUCGGUAAGUCUGUCGUGAAAUUCUGGGGCUCAACCCCGGGCGUGCGAUGGAUACUGCCGGGCUAGAGGGUGGUAGAGGCGAGUGGAAUUCCCGGUGUAGCGGUGAAAUGCGCAGAUAUCGGGAGGAACACCAGUAGCGAAGGCGGCUCGCUGGGCCACACCUGACGCUGAGACGCGAAAGCUAGGGGAGCGAACAGGAUUAGAUACCCUAGUAGUCC
rnacentral:rRNA from 1 species